rnacentral:lncRNA from 1 species
GCUGAUCAGAACACACACAAUACAUUUUUCAGUCUUUCUUUGGUGCUGGUCUUUGAGAGCAUUCAUCCUGCUAGAAGUUAGCUUCGAAUCAGAAUGUACAGUACGAAGAGACUUCAAUUAUUGGUGCCAUAAACUAUAAACCUCUUCAACAUCAAGUUCCAUCUCGGCUUUUAUCAUCCCUCUAAGCAAUUCACCAUGCAUUAAUGUAACGGUAAUUGCACUACAUAGGUGGCAUGUCCUCUUUAAUGGAA